UCACAAAGUGUCACCUGCCUGAUAUGAUAGAGGUGCUAAUGGGCGUAAUGAUGAUGAUGAAUAGUACAGUGUAACAGCUGCAGGGACAGAUAAGGAAAAUGUUAGGCUAAAGGCUGACUGAGUGGGCUGGCACUUACAAAAAUAAUGGUAAUCUGAAUGCUGAAUUUGUGUGCACGUUGGGACAAGGAGCUGCAGUACUUUUCAACAAAUAGUACCAGGGCUCAAAAGUGGACUGGAACUAACAUUCCAACACCACCACCUCCUUCAACUGUUACAGAGGGCGGGACUGAGAGGAGAGACGGGUGAAGUUGUGGAAGAAGAAGGUCUACCAAGAUGGCUGCAACUGAAGCCACAUAUUCUGAGCUUCAAACGGCUGAAUAGAAACCUGUGGGUGACAUCACGCUUAUGCUGUCCUGUCAUUGGUCAGGACACUCCAAGAUGCUGAUCAUGAUGUUCAGCUGUCAUGAGCACAUCUUCCUCUCCUGCAUACAGCAGUGGGAAAUUCCAGAGCCAAGCAGUGAGUGCUGUGGAAAGAGGACCAUCAGUCGCUAUUGACUCUCUGAUGAUCAGAGGUGGCUGUAGAGAACAUCUUUACAACUUUCCUCCAGAACGACCCGCAGAACAAACUCCAUGUUCCUGUCAGAUGAUGAAGCAUGCUCUGGCCUGAAGAAUUAGAGCAUGACUGAUACGCUGGCAUGCUUCAGAUCAUCAGAGGACUUUAGUGGUAUGUUAUACAGUUUAUAUAUCAGCUGAUACGAUGAUUGAGGUCAUUUAGAAACAAGGUGUCCAUUAUAUGUUUAUUUUCCCAAUGUAAAA